rnacentral:rRNA from 1 species
UACGGAGGGUGCAAGCGUUAAUCGGAAUUACUGGGCGUAAAGCGUGCGUAGGUGGUUUGUUAAGUCAGGCGUGAAAGCCCCGGGCUCAACCUGGGAACUGCGUUUGAUACUGACAAACUAGAGUGUGGUAGAGGGUAGUGGAAUUCCCGGUGUAGCGGUGAAAUGCGUAGAUAUCGGGAGGAACAUCAGUGGCGAAGGCGGCUACCUGGACCAACACUGACACUGAGGUACGAAAGCGUGGGUAGCAAACAGG